UUUUAUGGAGAGUUUGAUCCUGGCUCAGGAUGAACGCUGGCGGCGUGCCUAAUACAUGCAAGUCGAGCGAACGGACGAGAAGCUUGCUUCUCUGAUGUUAGCGGCGGACGGGUGAGUAACACGUGGAUAACCUACCUAUAAGACUGGGAUAACUUCGGGAAACCGGAGCUAAUACCGGAUAAUAUUUUGAACCGCAUGGUUCAAAAGUGAAAGACGGUCUUGCUGUCACUUAUAGAUGGAUCCGCGCUGCAUUAGCUAGUUGGUAAGGUAACGGCUUACCAAGGCAACGAUGCAUAGCCGACCUGAGAGGGUGAUCGGCCACACUGGAACUGAGACACGGUCCAGACUCCUACGGGAGGCAGCAGUAG
rnacentral:rRNA from 1 species